UACGUAGGGAGCUAGCGUUGUUCGGGAUUACUGGGCGUAAAGCGCACGUAGGCGGCUUUGUAAGUUAGAGGUGAAAGCCUGGGGCUCAACUCCAGAACUGCCUUUAAAACUGCAUCGCUUGAAUCCAGGAGAGGUGAGUGGAAUUCCGAGUGUAGAGGUGAAAUUCGUAGAUAUUCGGAAGAACACCAGUGGCGAAGGCGGCUCACUGGACUGGUAUUGACGCUGAGGUGCGAAAGCGUGGGGAGCAAACAGG
rnacentral:rRNA from 1 species